CCUGACUGCUAUCGGAUUGAUACUAACCCAUGCGAGUCAUUGUAGCAAUACAAGGCAGACGGCUCAGUAACGCGUAGUCAAUCUACCCUAUGGACGGGAAUAACCUCGGGAAACUGAGAAUAAUGCCCGAUAGAACAUUAUGCCUGGAAUGGUUUAUGUUUCAAAUGAUUUAUCGCCAUAGGAUGGGACUGCGGCCUAUCAGUUUGUUGGUGAGGUAAUGGCCCACCAAGACUAUUACAGGUACGGGCUCUGAGAGGAGUAGCCCGGAGAUGGGUACUGAGACACGGACCCAGGCCCUAUGGGGCGCAGCAGGCGAGAAAACUUUGCAAUGUGCGAAAGCACGACAGGGUUAAUCCGAGUGGUUUCUGCUAAAGAAACCUUUUGUCAGUCCUAGAAACACUAACGAAUAAGGGGUGGGCAAGUUCUGGUGUCAGCCGCCGCGGUAAAACCAGCACCUCAAGUGGUCAGGAUGAUUAUUGGGCCUAAAGCAUCCGUAGCUCGUUUUGUAAGUUUUCGGUUAAAUCCAUGCGCUUAACGUAUGGGCUGCCGGGAAUACUGCAUAACUAGGAAGUGGGAGAGGUAGACGGUACUCGGGAGGAAGGGGUAAAAUCCUUUGAUCUCUUGAUGACCACCUGUGGCGAAGGCGGUCUACCAGAACACGUUCGACGGUGAGGGAUGAAAGCUGGGGGAGCAAACCGGAUUAGAUACCCGGGUAGUCCCAGCUGUAAACUAUGCAAACUCAGUGAUGCAUUGGCUUAUGGCCAAUGCAGUGCUGCAGGGAAGCCGUUAAGUUUGCCGCCUGGGAAGUACGUACGCAAGUAUGAAACUUAAAGGAAUUGGCGGGGGAGCACCACAAGGGGUGAAGCCUGCGGUUCAAUUGGAGUCAACGCC
rnacentral:rRNA from 1 species